rnacentral:tRNA from 1 species
GCACAGGUGGCCGAGUGGUUAAUGGCAGCAGACUGUAAAUCUGCCGCUCUCAGGAGCUACGGAGGUUCGAAUCCUCCCCUGUGCACCA